AGUGAACGCUGGCGGUAGGCCUAACACAUGCAAGUCGAACGGCAGCACAGUAAGAGCUUGCUCUUACGGGUGGCGAGUGGCGGACGGGUGAGGCAUACAUCGGAAUCUACUUUUUCGUGGGGGAUAACGUAGGGAAACUUACGCUAAUACCGCAUACGACCUACGGGUGAAAGCAGGGGAUCUUCGGACCUUGCGCGAUUGAAUGAGCCGAUGUCGGAUUAGCUAGUUGGCGGGGUAAAGGCCCACCAAGGCGACGAUCCGUAGCUGGUCUGAGAGGAUGAUCAGCCACACUGGAACUGAGACACGGUCCAGACUCCUACGGGAGGCAGCAGUGGGGAAUAUUGGACAAUGGGCGCAAGCCUGAUCCAGCCAUACCGCGUGGGUGAAGAAGGCCUUCGGGUUGUAAAGCCCUUUUGUUGGGAAAGAAAAGCAGCAGGUUAAUACCCCGCUGUUCUGACAGUACCCAAAGAAUAAGCACCGGCUAACUUCGUG
rnacentral:rRNA from 1 species